GGGCUCUCGUGGCACUCUGAUAGAGCAGCUCAUAGAUGGAAUGGUGCAUCUCAAAAAAGUAUGUUUGAGAGUCAUCAACUCGAUCUGUGGAAAUAAUGCUGGAGCGCUCUGGGGAAAAACAGUGAACUCUGUCUCAUAUGAGAGGAGAACUCCGAAUCCAGAGUAGCACGCUCAUAGGCGACCCUUCUUGGAAAAGGGGAGCGCUGCUAAACUACCACGAGAAUCGUCCAAAUAGUCCCUCAUGUUUGAGGGAAGCAAUGCUUGAAGUGUAUAAACGAGUACACACUAGCUGAAUGGAGCCCACGGAACCAAGGUCUAAUCAUCUCAAGAAAGGGAACGAGGCGGAGCGCGUAACCCUUACCAUACAGGAUUUCAGAAAGUGCGCAGAGUCUUGCGUGCACACUUACCAAUACGUGGAUUUUUAGAAAGUGCGCAAAGUGUUCACGUGCACACUGACCACCAUGUGGUUUUCAGAAAGUACACAGAGCUUAGCGUGUGUACCUAAAGGUUCCUAAGCAUCGCAGAGGCGCUGAACCGCACGGGAGAGGCAAGCUCAAAUUUUAUAAACCUCUAGCGAGGGGAGCAUCACCUGAGGCAGCAUAUACAAGAAGACUUCUGUAACUGCCACCUUCACUUCCCGCUGGAUGCGACAGCACCUAAGCGGCCAGGAGACCCCUCAGGGUGACCUGGCCGGACAUCCAUGAAAUUCCCUGCAGUGCUGUGCCAGGCCUGAUGAUCAAGGAGGCUCCCGCAGAAACCUGUGAUGGCUGGUGCUGACGAGUGUUUAGUAAACACUGUAACUGAGCACUGCAAAGGAAACUCACAGAGUUUAUUAGUAGACAUAACCACCAGCAAUUUACACAUAAGUAUAUACAGAAAGGGUUAUUUUUAUACUCCCACCCUCCUGCGCUGGAGCCCCGCUCAAGGGGCGCCUCCUUUUAGUCCGGACCAUCAGUAAGGUGGUUGCUAUGAACAUAGAACCAGCCAAAAACAUUAUAGGUCCAGCAUAGGAGACUGUUAUGCGUUAGAGGUUUCCACCUAACCUCGAUCAGGUGGAGAGCUGGUGGUUACAGGGGAAUUAGGAAGGGGAGGAUAAAAGCAGAAGUUAAAAAUCNUUCGUGUUCUGAGUUAAGUUUUGUAACGCCGUGUCUCCGAGUCUGACCUCGAGUGCCCGUCUGAAACUUCAGCCAGCCCACAACUCCGCAUCUUCAGCCAACGCCCAACCACGGGCUUCCCAAGACGUCACUUCAACGACUACUGAACUUCCAGCCAAUCAGCAACUUCGGGAAACCCCCUUUUCAGCGACAACAAAGGGAACCCCGUUAAACAGGCAACGCAAGUAACCUCCAGACUCACAUCUGUACUGGUGUUAUCUUAUAUAAUUUUAACCUAAUUGAUGAACUCAAUGCGAGGGUUAAUUAAGUGAUUGAUGGUUGUUCAUGUCUAUGCAAUUUCACGUAUUGCUGUAAACUUGGGAUUUCACAUUUUCAUUCUCUUAAACUCAUUCUUUCCUAACUUUCUAUCCUCCUGCAACUUGUGUGAUUGUGUGAGUGCGUGUGCUUCUAUGUUAGUUUAGUUUAUAUGUCUUAGUUUUAUCUAAUAAAGGCUCAUUCAUAUUGAAAAGAGAAGUAUCU
ensembl:lncRNA